AGUCGAACGCUUUUUCUUUCACCGGAGCUUGCUCCACCGAAAGAAAAGGAGUGGCGAACGGGUGAGUAACACGUGGGUAACCUGCCCAUCAGAAGGGGAUAACACUUGGAAACAGGUGCUAAUACCGUAUAACAAUCGAAACCGCAUGGUUUCGGUUUGAAAGGCGCUUUUGCGUCACUGAUGGAUGGACCCGCGGUGCAUUAGCUAGUUGGUGAGGUAACGGCUCACCAAGGCAACGAUGCAUAGCCGACCUGAGAGGGUGAUCGGCCACAUUGGGACUGAGACACGGCCCAAACUCCUACGGGAGGCAGCAGUAGGGAAUCUUCGGCAAUGGACGCAAGUCUGACCGAGCAACGCCGCGUGAGUGAAGAAGGUUUUCGGAUCGUAAAACUCUGUUGUUAGAGAAGAACAAGGAUGAGAGUAAAAUGUUCAUCCCUUGACGGUAUCUAACCAGAAAGCCACGGCUAACUACGUGCCAGCAGCCGCGGUAAUACGUAGGUGGCAAGCGUUGUCCGGAUUUAUUGGGCGUAAAGCGAGCGCAGGCGGUUUCUUAAGUCUGAUGUGAAAGCCCCCGGCUCAACCGGGGAGGGUCAUUGGAAACUGGGGAACUUGAGUGCAGAAGAGGAGAGUGGAAUUCCAUGUGUAGCGGUGAAAUGCGUAGAUAUAUGGAGGAACACCAGUGGCGAAGGCGGCUCUCUGGUCUGUAACUGACGCUGAGGCUC
rnacentral:rRNA from 1 species